rnacentral:rRNA from 1 species
UACGUAGGGUGCGAGCGUUGUCCGGAAUUACUGGGCGUAAAGAGCUCGUAGGUGGUUUGUCGCGUUGUUCGUGAAAACUCACAGCUUAACUGUGGGCGUGCGGGCGAUACGGGCAGACUGGAGUACUGCAGGGGAGACUGGAAUUCCUGGUGUAGCGGUGGAAUGCGCAGAUAUCAGGAGGAACACCGGUGGCGAAGGCGGUUCUCUGGGCCUGUACUGACGCUGAGGAGCGAAAGCGUGGGGAGCAAACAGG